rnacentral:rRNA from 1 species
UACGGGGGGGGGCAAGCGUUGUUCGGAAUUACUGGGCGUAAAGGGCUCGUAGGCGGCCAACUAAGUCAUACGUGAAAUCCCUCGGCUUAACCGGGGAACUGCGUCUGAUACUGGAUGGCUUGAGAUUGGGAGAGGGAUGCGGAAUUCCAGGUGUAGCGGUGAAAUGCGUAGAUAUCAAGAGGAACACCUGAGGUGAAGACGGGUUGCUGGGCUGACACUGACGCUGAUGCGCGAAAGCCAGGGGAGCAAACGGG